CACAAAAGUGGCUUGAAGGUGCCUGAGUACGAUCUUCCCAGCGAAGCUACGGGUCCUUUUGUUCUGUCCGGGUACAGUGGCUACAAGCAAGUCCAGUUCCCACGAGGGAGGCUUUUUGCUUUUGACUCUGAGGGCAACUAUAUGUUGACGUGUUCUUCUACUGGGGGAGUCCUUUUUAAGUUGAACGGUGAGGAAAAGGUUCUGGAGAGCUGCCUUUCCCUGGGAGGACACAGAGCUCCCGUUGUCACAGUGGAUUGGAGCACGGCCAUGGACUGCGGGACCUGCCUCACCGCCUCUAUGGAUGGGAAGAUUAAAUUAACAACCUUACUGGCUCGGAAGUCUUAACCUGGACGGUGCCGAAGGGAAAGAGCAAAAGACUUGACAAAACCAGCGUUAACUCCACAGGAACAAACUGCAUGGGAGAGAAGGCAAACCACAGUCCCUCUUCUCAUUGUAGCUUUUGCCUCUUGAGAAAAGUUAAAUACGUUUGCCAAACCAC